GCGUUAACGAACGAGACCUUAACCUGCUAAAUAGUCCGGCCGGCUUUUGCUGGUCGCAGACUUCUUAGAGGGACUGUCAGCGUCUAGCUGACGGAAGUUUGAGGCAAUAACAGGUCUGUGAUGCCCUUAGAUGUUCUGGGCCGCACGCGCGCUACACUGACAGAGCCAGCGAGUUCUCACCUUGGCCGGAAGGUCUGGGUAAUCUUUUGAAACUUGAUCGUGCUGGGGAUAGUCCAUUGCAAUUAUUGGACUUCAACGAGGAAUUCCUAGUAAGCGUGAGUCAUCAGCUCGCGUUGAUUACGUCCCUGCCCUUUGUACACACCGCCCGUCGCUAUUACCGAUUGAAUGGCUU
rnacentral:rRNA from 1 species